UACGUAGGAGGCAAGCGUUAUCCGGAUUUAUUGGGCGUAAAGAGGGCGUAGGCGGCUUUUCAAGUCGGAUGUGAAAUUUCCCGGCUCAACCGGGACGGGUCAUUCGAUACUGUUGGGCUAGAGGACGGCAGGAGGAGAUGGAAUUCCCGGUGUAGUGGUGAUAUGCGUAGAUAUCGGGAGGAACACCAGAGGCGAAGGCGAUCUCCUAGGCUGUAUCUGACGCUGAGGUCCGAAAGCGUGGGGAGCGAACAGGAUUAGAUACCCCGGUA
rnacentral:rRNA from 1 species